AUAAACCUGUUUCUUUUGCUGACCUGUUUUAUUUCCUAGCCCCCUGAGCCCCAGGAGGGUUUUCUCCCCAGCAGUGAUCAGGCACCGUCUGGGAAGGCAAUAGGCUGUGUGCUUUGUUAGCCAAGAGGAAGAGGCAAAGGACAAAGGUGCUGUUGACUCCAGGAGCUGAGAUGCUGGGGGGCAGAUUCUGGCAGCAACUCUGAGAACAGGUGGGGCUGUGACUUUCAGGAUACCUGGCCCAGGCCAGAAGAGUGAUCUGGCAAAGGCAGCAGCUGCAGGCCCAGUGAGGAGCUUGGUGGUUUAGCUGCCUUUUGCAGCUGAUGACAUUUUGGAAGGAGGGGCUGAGCUGUGGAGGCUCCCUGCUCUUCUCCUGGAUUCUCGAUUCACACCACCCUGGCAUUCCAGAGGAGCAGACAGAGAAGGAGCUGGAGACCCAGGAGGCCCCGGAGGUGCCGCCGGGCCGUCCACAUGGCAGGGCUGUUCUUGUAUUCCGUCCCCAACACCCACAGGGCAGCAGGGUGCUCUGCUUCUUCUCUAGCUACAGUGUGUGAAGGCCUGGCUGUGGCCACCCAAAUGAAGGUCUCAAACUGUGUCCCCGAAGCCCGGGCCCCUUCUCCUUCCUGGCAGCACACAUAACAUCAGACUAUAUCAGGUGCAGUGACCACAAGAGGAGCCUCACAUUUUCUAAACAGAAACGGCCCGAGCAGAGAAAACACAGCUCCACAAAGUCACUGACCGUGAGCGCUGACCGUGAGCACUGUGCAUGGUUCUACAGGGAGGAAGUUAUGACGAGCUCUGAAAGCAACCGUGGCCAUCAUAACCACCCUCCGGAGCUGCACACCUGGCAUUCUGAAAUUGCUCCUGUGGUUAUGAAAGUAUGUUCUCCCCUGUUCAAUGUGCCCCUGGGAUUGCCCAAUUUGGGGCUACGAGCCUGGGUGUUUUUCUCUGCUGUUGGGUAGUCUCUGGGCUCUACUGCUUGGUUCUGAGGUUUCUUUGGCCCCACUUCUGGGCUGGCUGUGGUGGUGCACGCCUUUAGUUCUAGCACUCAACAGGGGCGGGGCGGGGCAGGGCAGGGCGGGGCGGGCCGGGAAAGGGCGGGGCAGGGCGGGGCAGGCUCUAGGAGUUUGAAGCUAGCCUGGUCUACACAGUGAGGACCAGGUCCUAACCCUCCCCUUCUUUGAGACACGAUCUCUGCCUUCCGUUGUUCACUACUGUACCCCGGGCUAGCUGGGCCCUGACCUUCUGGAUUUCUUCUGGGUUUGCUCCCAUCUCUGUAGAACACUGCAACCGUAGUCUGCAUUGCCGAGCCUCACACUCAGGCUUGUGGGGUGCGUACUUUAUGAUCUGAGCCAUCUCCUCUGCCCCACACCUAACCUUUUAAGAAUCAUUCUCUUUAUGGGGUGAUGAGUUUCAACCCUUUGUAGAGCCUGAUGCACCAUCAGCAUGGAAACAGUUGUUACUACUUUUAUUAAAAGAAACCCCAGAGGUCAGUAUUAUUUCUGCCCUUCACAUAAAAUCAGAGCUUUGGGGAGUUUAAAGCUUGACAAAGACCAGUUCACAUUGGGUUAGAGCUACCACAGCUUCCAUUGGCUGAUCCAAAAUCAGAGUUCUUGAAAAUAACAAAUAAAAGCUGAUGUUUGAUCCAAUGAAAUACAGAUGUGACCACACUCCCACCUGCUGCUGAAGCCAGGCGCUUAUCCAGGCUAACGUGCACCCUGAGGGUGGGAAGGGCUCUGGGCUGGGGAGAUGGUUAGGCUUCCUUCGUUUCUUUCCUCUCUGGCAUGGUGACUCGCAGCUUGAAAGCACAGUCUGUGCCGAUGGAGCCGGGCUAACCAGGACUUUCCAAACCACCCUGCAGCCUUUUGCCAGCUUCUGCACCAGUGACCUAGAAACUAUUUCAAAACUCAUUUUUAUUUUCUAGGGGCCAAAGUUUUGGUGAAACAGUUCAUACAGCUCUGACCCAGAGGUUUUAAAUUUAGAAAUCAAUCCCUGGACAUGUGGGAUAAUAGCUGCUGUGUCAGCAAAGUUAUAGGAGAAAAAACUCAGGCUGCACUUUCAAAAUUGCUUCCAGCUUAAGACGGAGGUGUAUCCUUAGGCCAGCUACUGUCACUAAACCGCCAAACAGGUCGCUGGUUUGUGGACAAAACAAACACCCACUCAGCUAUAGAAAGUGUUAUGCAAUGCUGUGUGUGUGUGUGUGUGUGUGUGUGUGUGUGUGUGUGUGUGACACAUGCUACAUAUAUGAAGGUCAGAGGUCAAUCCAUGGAGUUGAUUUUCUCCAUCCACCAUUUUAUUUAUUUAUUUAUUUAUUUUUGUUUUUUGAGACAGGGUCUCUCUAUAGAGUCCCAGCUGUUCUGGAACUCACUAUGUAGAUCAGGCUGGCCCUGAACUCACAGAGAUUCAUCUGCUUCCAACUUCUAAGUACUAGGAUCAAAAACAUGCACCACCACACCUGGUCUUUAACCCACCUUUAAUCUCUAAUGUCUGUAAGCUGUGGGUUCCUGGGAUCAAACUGUGGUGUCCAGGCUUCCACAGUAAAUGCUGUUACUUGGUGGCCAUCUCACCAGUCCAUGUGCUGUAAUGCUUUAAACACACAUAAAAAGAUGCUGUAAAAAGAAAAACAUGAGUUUGCUGAAAUGUUUUCUACCUGGAGGGCAUCUGUGGCACAAUGUAUGUGCGGAAGCUGCCUAUGUGUUCCUGUCUUGUUUCCUCAGAGUCUCAGCAGGUAGUCUGGGUUAGCCUUGAAUAUACGAGCCUCUCAUCUCAGAGUCCUGGGUGCUGUUACAGCAGGUGCGUGGCUACCACACUGGGCUGCUUAUGAACAGCAUUUACUUACCUAUGUAUUUGUUUAUUGAUUACUUAUUUGGAACUCACUUUGUAGCUGAGGCUGGCCUCUAACGUAAGAGAUAAUGCCACCACUGUUAAACACCAUCAACUAAGUCAUUUCAUGGCCUCCAGGACUUAGAUGCUCACCCGGUUCCUGUAAUCACUGAUCUCCCAAAUUCUAUCAAGGUUGCAGCCUGCAGUGAACCUGGAAAGACAGUGCUCUGACAAGAACUGACUAUGCAAUGGAAGGUGUUGUCUGUGAUUGACACGGGCCAUCUGCUGAGCGCCCCAACACAUUGCAUCGUGGGAUGCCUUACUGGGAAGGUGGCAGAGGUGUGUUUACUGUUUAAUGAGGGGAUGCCAGGUUUGCAGUGACUCCCCUGUGGACAAAUGAAUGGGGGCCAUUAGACUCCUGCAUCUGUGGCUUCUUAUGCUGUCAGCUUGACAUAAUGUUGAGAAGGCCACCAACCUAGACCUCAACAACAAGACUGUUUAAUGUGUCUGAUCUGUAUUUUAAUGUGUCUGAUCUGUCUUUUAAAGUGCCCAGACGAGCAGGCACAUAGGGGUAGGGAGCAGUGGGCGAGAUGACAGCGGAAGUGCUAAGAGCAGUGGAGGAAUCAGAUUUUAGAAUUCCUUCAAGUGGGAUCAGUGGCUCACCCCUCCUGUAGCGCACACCCACCCAGUGCGAGAUUUCCAAUGUCUGGGAGCUCUGAACUUCCACACUACAGCAGCCUUGUUAAUGCCCACGUGUCCAUCUUCACUCAAAUGACUCACGGGAAUGGGAGGACAACCACAACACGAUUUCCUUGGUUUAGAAUGAACAAGACAUUUCCACACCGGCAAGGAAGCCUGGAAGCUACAACUGCAUUCUGAACAGGAGGCAACCAACUACCCUUCCAAUGUAAACGGUCAGUAUGAUGGGUCCUGGGGGGGUCAGAAAAAAGGCCCCCUACUACUCUUGCUAAUUCAUACUAAAAGGGAUACCCGUCUUCCACCCUGUGAUGACAAAAAAUGGCUGGAAGAGGAUUAUGCGCAUAGCUUAGAUGGACAACACAAAGCUGUCAGACCCGUAAGGAGUCACUGCUCAGGUGUAUCUAGAAUUCGGCCUUCCUGUACUGCCUCCACCCCAUGUGAAAGAGGAAAUGAACCUGCUCCCUCACAAUUCCCCGAGACUGUGGGGUGAAAGCGAGGCUCCUGCCGGGACCAAACUCUAGCCCUAGUGCUUGUAUGGCAAACACUUCACCACAGAGCCCUUUCCCCAGCAUUUUGCUUGGCCAGUGUUGAAUUCCUCUAAGCAGCUCUGCUACUGUUACAACUGAGCUCAGGAUGAGCAUGGUCAAGAGGAAUCCAGACUACAGUUCUUGACUUCUAAGUAUGCAGCCAACUCAGCAGGCCAGUGGACAUCCUUUGGGCAACAGACAAAGGCAGCUUUCUGUCACUGUGAUAAACACCAGGACCCCAAACAACCUGGGUAGGGAAUGGUUUACUCCCUCUUGCAGGUUCCAAUCCAUAACUGAGGGAAGCUAAGGUAGGAAUCUAGAGGCAGGAACUGGGACAGAGGCCACGGAAAGGCUGUUUACUAGCUCACUCUGAUUCACCCUUAGCCUGCUAAGAUGUUCCACUGGGGCUGAAUAUGGGAUCAGCUUCCAGCACUGAGAUGACCCAGUGUGCUCUCCUGGCCUCCACAGGCACCAGGCACACAUGUGGUGCACUGAUAUACACGUAUGCAGAACAUCUAUACACAUAAAAUAAUGUUUUAAAUGUAAAAUGGAGUUGGGGUUAGCCUCACACAGUAGCAGAAGUCCUUUUUCUUCCUACAGGACUGUCAAGCGCACUAGGACACACACGGAGUAUAUAACAAUCCCUUGUUGUACAAGGCUGUCACAUGAACUUCAGGACAUAGUACAUCUAUGACCCUUCCCACUAAAAGCCAACAGUGGCCCCUCCACGUCUAUGGUCCAGAUCACGUGGGUUCUAAACCUCCCACAGCAUCAAUGCUGAAUUCAUGCAGACACAGGCUGCUGGUAAGAACCCGGAGCUCUGUGUAAUGACUGCUCAUUUGACAGAGGAGGCUCCACUAGGGGCAUCACACAGAAAGAAGUCACAGGAAAGACAGCUUCUUCUGCACGUUAUACAGGGAUGAAACAUGAAAAUUCCACCCAUACCUCAGAACCAGCCUCCCCAGGGAUUCAGCAACCAGAGGGCAGAGCCCAAAGCCCAGAAGGCCUAUAGACCUCGGAUUACAUCGUCCGUGUGUGUGUGUGUGUGUGUGUGCGAGUGCGCGCAUGUGUAAGCCUGCAGCAGGCAGUCCUGGUGAAUGUCCGCCUUUCUGUGGGUAGGGGACCACACAGCAUCAGUCUGCACAGUACCCUGGCCUAGUCACUGGCACCUGUACACAAAGGCAGGUGUGGUUCCCACACAGUUCACACAUGCUGCUUGUUGGGGCAACGUGUGACUUUAAAAGAUACUUAACCUGGAAAUCUAUGAGAGGCAGGGAUGAGGCUCAGUGGGUACAGUGCUUGCCUAGGAUGCAGGAAGCUCUGGGUUCAAUCCUCAGCACCACAUAAAACCAGACACGGUGGCACACACCUACACUCUCAGCACUUGGGAAGGGGAGGCAGGAGGGUCAGAAGUUCAAGGUCGUCCUCAGCUACAUAGGGAGUCUGAGGCUAGCCUGGGCUAGCCUGGGCUCUACGACACCUUGUGUCAAAACAUACAAAGUGAUACGUGAAUAAGCAAUGCUUCCCGUAUUUUUGCACAAAUGCUCUCUAAGACGUAGCAUGGGCAGAGGGUUAUAAACCAGCCCAAGGCCCUGCUCUCCUGAAGUUUAUGACUCUAGGAACAAAAAGCACAUAGCAGCAGGCCAGGAAAUGCAGCAUGAAUGUUGUACAGUGAGCGUGGCGCGUCUGAGAAUCGGAAGGAGGCGUGGGGCACCUGUGGACAGUUUGCUCCCAUGCCCUGAGCUAAGCACAAACAUCAACAUUACAGCAGCAGGAGGUGUGCAAAGAGCUGUACGCUAUAGGAGAGAGAACACAAGAGCAGGAGAGGGAUGCCGAGUAUCCCGCUGAGAAGGCAGCACUCCAGGCUCUCAAUAAACAGGGUACUGUGGCCAGAUGCAUCCCAGAGGCAGGGAGAGAGGAGAACAGACAACCUGAGGACUGCCUUGUCCCAGCCCAGCAGUGUGAGCUUGUGUCUCUGUCCCAGCCCAGCAGUGUGAGCUUGUGUCUCUGUCCCAGCCCAGCAGUGUGACCUUGUGUCUCUGUCCCAGCCCAGCAGUGUGACCUUGUGUCUCUGUCCCAGCCUAGCAGUGUGACCUUGUGUCUCUGUCACAGCCCAGCAGUGGGACCUUGUGUUCUCACAGCCCGGCAGUGGACCUUGGCCUAGACGGCCUAUGGACCUCUGCAGCAGGCUUCUCAUCUUCUGGGAAGGAAACAGGUGGCACUCAAAGUGACAAGCAGAAUGAGAUGAGGCGUGAUAAGUGACCUCUCUGGGAGGUGCUGAAUCAUGACAGUCACCACACUUCAGUCCAUAUGCAAUGUACACUGAUUAGUUCUGUAGCUUUUGUAAGCCAAACAAAGAUGAGAGCCUCUAUCUGCAUCAGCUAAAACGCUUGGCUUUUAAAAUAGCUAACUGCAGUCCAUUACACACUCCUGAAAUCCGACACCAAGGAAAGGGCCAAUGAUGAAAGAUUUAUAAAUGCAUUUAUUGGAAGCAGUUAAAUGAACAAUGUUGAGCACAUGAUGCACAGAAACCAGGGCUGGGCAGGAAGCAAGGAUCUUAGAGGCAGAGUAUUACAUCACACAGUCUGAUUUACAGAGGGGAAGCGAAUUCCACAGCACUCAUUCUGAACACACUUUGAACUUGAAUUCUAGUGUUCUCCGUGCAAAAGCAAAAGACUGUUUCCCCCUUGCAUUCACCAAACAUGAUUAGUUAAAAGCAAGACACUGCAGGCGGAUUCUGAAGCAGCCAGUAAGGAGCUGUAAACAGUUCCUUCAGACAGGGUAAAGCCGCAUGAAAGAAAAGAGUGUCAGUACUGGGUAUCUGGAAGCAGAGGAGAAAAUGUCAGUGAGCGAGAGGCUUGUAGAAGGACAGUCAGCUAGGGGUACCUUUGCUAUAGAAAAGAGAACUGUUAGCUCUUCACUGCAAGUUUCAGAUUUUACUCAAUUAUUAAGCCUCCAUGCUCUGUAAUAUAAAAACAAACACAAACAAAAAUUACGUGAUUUCUAUACCACAGGACCAAAGAGGGCUUUCAGACACUGCAGGGAAGCUGCGUUCUAUUCAUAUAAUGCACCUGGACACGGGAAGACACCGUAGCAGCAGCACGGUACUGUUCAGGGCUCUUUACUCAGAAAUACACCCCCUACCCC